rnacentral:lncRNA from 1 species
AAAAUAUAAAAAUGAUUUAAAAAAGACAAUUUCUCUUUUCAAACUAGAAAAACUGAUGAAAAAAGGAAAAUAAUGUACUUUCUUAUUAUUUUUUUCCCAAAUUCGACGCUGUUCGACACCUUAAUGAAGCAUAUCAAAGAAAAAGUGUAUUUCAGAAGCUCAAAAAGGUGCUAUUCCCAUUUUCAGGAACUAACAGGAACAUAGUUUUUAUGAAAUAUAAAGACACAAGCC